GGCUUUGAAGUAUAUAUUAUUACGUUGAAUUGCAAAUUCAAAGAAGCAGUUAAAGGCUGCCAGAGCUU
rnacentral:tRNA from 1 species